UGGGUGUGGUGGGGCAGGCCUGUAAUCCCAGCUACUCAGGAGGCUGAGGCAGGAGAAUCACUUGAACCUGGGAGGCGGAGGUUGCAGAGUCGAGAUCAUGCCAUUGCCCUCCAGCCUGGGCGACUGAGUGAGACUCCAUCUUAAAAAAAAAAAAAAAAAAAGUCUUUUAUUACUUUUUGAGCAUUUAAAGAGUAUUUUUUGGCCAGACGGUGUGGCUCACGCCUGUAAUCCCAGUAUUUUGGGAGGCCCAGGCGGGUGGAUCACUUGAAGCCUCCAGCCUGGCCAACAUGGCAGGAGAAUGACUGGAACCCGGGAGGUGGAUGUUGCAGUGAGCCAAGAUGGUGUCACUGCACUCCAGCCUGGGUGACAGAGAGAGACUCUGUCUCAAAGACAAAAAGAAAAUUUGUUCAGUAUUUUCUUCAAUCAGCUUUCUCAGACUGAAUGUUCACCCUUUUAAAUAUUCAUAAUGUUCCUGAGAAUCCAUUUGGCUAUUCUGUUUUCUUCACCCUUCUCCAGCCUUCCCCUCCUCAAUUCGACCCAUUUCUUCCCUACUUCCCAAAAGAAAAAAUAUCUACUUUGGAUUAAUAUAAAUCAGUUUAAUCUAACUUAUUCAAGACUUUUUUGGCCUCUACUUGGAGGUUCAAGAAAAGGUGUGUCAGGCCUCUGAGCCCAAGCUAAGCCAUCAUAUCCCCUGUGACCUGCACAUACACAUCCAGAUGGCCGGUUCCUGCCUUAACUGAUGACAUUCCACCACAAAAGAAGUGAAAAUGGCCUGUUCCUGCCUUAACUGAUGACAUUGUCUUGUGAAAUUCCUUUUCCUGGCUCAUCCUGUCUCAAAAAGCUCCCCUACUGAGCACCCUGUGACCCCCACUCUGUCCGCCAGAGAACAACACCCCUUUGACUGUAAUUUUCCUUUAUCUACCCAAAUCCUAUAAAACAGCCGCACCCUUAUCUUCCUUCGCUGACUCUCUUUUUGGACUCAGCCCGCCUGCACCCAGGUGAAAUAAACAGCCAUGUUGCUCACACAAAGCCUGUUUGGUGGUCUCUUCACACGCACGAGCAUGAAAGUGAGAAACAUGGAUUCAGUCAAGAAGCCCUUCUGAAGGAGUAGAAGGCCCUAGAUUCCCAGAACUGGGGCUCUGGCUAUGUUGCCCAGGCUGGUCAUAAACUCCUGGCCUCAAGUGAUCCUCCUGCCUCGGCCUCCCAAAGUGCUGGGAUUACAGGUGAGCUAUUGUACCCAGCCCAACAUAGAAUUCUAUUUCCAGUUAAAUUAUCCUUCCAAAAUGAAGGAUAAAUAAAGACUUUCUUAGACAAAAACUGAGGGAAUUCACAUCCAGCUGACUUGCUCUGUAAGAAAUGUUAUUGAGAGAGGGAAAAUGAUAAGUAGGAAACUCAGUUCUUCUUUUUUUUUUUUUAGUUUUGUUCUUUCACCCAGGCUGGAAUUAAGUGGCACAAUCUCGGCUCACUGCAACCUCUGCCCCCCAGGUUCAAGCCAUUUUCCUGCCUCAGCCUCCCCAGUAGCUGGGAUUAUAGGUGACCGCCACCACACCCAUCUAAUUUUUGUAUUUUUAGUAGAGAUGGUGUUUCGCCAGGUUGGCCAGGCUGGUCUCGAACCCCUGACCUUAGGCAAUCUGCCUGUUCGGGCUCCCAAAGUGCUAGGAUUACAGGUGUGAGCCACUGUGCCUGGCUGGAAACUCAGUUCUAUAUAAAGAAAAGCAAUGGGAAAGGAAUAAGGAAAGGUAAACAAACAACAAAAACAAUUUAGCUUGUCCUGGUGCAUGUGCCUGUAAUCCCAACUACUGGAGAGGCUGAGGCGGGAGGAUCCCUUGAGGCCAGGAGUUUGAGGCAUUAUUGGGCUAUGAUAGCGCCUGUGAAUAGCCACUGCACUCCAGCCUUGGCAACAAAGUGAGACCCCAUCUCUAAAAAAAGAGCUGCCAGUUUCAAAAUCCUUUGUUUAGUUUACAACUUGAAUAUAUUCUCUUAUUUUCUGGGCUGAGCGCAGUGGCUCAUGCCUGUAAUCCCAGCACUUUGGGAGGCUGAGGCGGGUGGAUCACCUGAGGUCAGGAGUUUGAGACUAGUCUGGCCAACAUGGUGAAACCCCAUCUCUACUAAAAAUAUAAGAAAUUAGCCAGGCGUGGUGGUGGGUGCCUGUAAUCCCAGCUACUAAAGAGGCUGAGGCAGGAGAAUCACUUGAACCUAGGAGGCGGAGGUUGCAGUGAGCUGAGAUCCAGCCUGGGCAACAAGAGUGAAACUCCAUCUCAAAAAAAAAAUUUUUUUUUUCUGGAAAUAUGUGAAAACGACAUGCAUUCAUGAAAUUCUAGCACAUCACCAAUUAUCUUGUACAUAUUAUUUCCUCUGCAUAGGGUAGCCUUGGCUCUUCCCUCUUAGCCUGAAAAGAUCCUUUGAGACUUUUUAAACAUUUUUUUAAAAAUAGAGACAAGGUCUUGCUAUGGCCCAGGCUGGUCUUGAAUUCCUGGACUCCAGUGAUCCUCCCACCUUGGCCUCCUAAAGUGCUGGGACUACAGGCAUAAGCCACCGUGGCCCAGCCGAUCCUUUGAGAUUUAGUUCAAAUGAAGGCAAGAAAGGGUAGUGAUUAAAAAGUAGGUGUUUGAACUGAAGCUCUGCACUAGGUCCUCAGGCAAGCCUCAUUACCUGAGUUUUCUUUUUUUUUUUUUUGAGACACAGUCUUGCUCUGUCACCCAGGCUGGAGUACAGUGACACGAUCUUGACUCACUACAGCCUCCACCUCCCGGGUUCCAGCGAUUCUCCUGCUUCAGCCUCCCGAGUAGCUGGGACUACAGGCAUGUGCCACCAUGCCGGGCUAAUUUUUGUAUUUUUAAUAGAGAUGGGAUUUCACCAUGUUGGCCAGGCUGGUCUCGAACUCUUGACCUCAGGUGAUCCAGCCGCCUUGGCCUCCCAAAGUGCUGGGAAUACAGGCAUGAGCCACCACACCCAGCCACCGGAGUUUUCUUUAAAAGAACACUGUAGAGUUUUUUUUUUUUUUUAGUGUUGUAAUAAAUGAGACAAGAUACAAAGCAGUUAGCAUAGUACCUACCUCACAACAAAAGUGCUCAAUAUAUGAUAACCAUAAUAAAUACAACACCUCAAAGUCUUCCCUAACAUUCCCAGGGAGAAUACUAUUUAUUUGUGCUUCCAAAUAUUAUGUUUAUACUUCUAUUUGAGCAUUUGUCACAAAUUAUAUUAUUUGCCCACAUAAAUGUGCAUUCUUGGGAGCUAGAAUGGUGCCCUAUGCAAUGUUUUAUUGUCAGUGCCUAGCAAGUGCCCAUCAAUUUGUAAGUACUCAAUAUUUUUUUGAUGAAUGAAUUAUAGACAAUAAGAUAUAGGGUGGCGUUCUCCAAUUUUAACAUGCAAGCUUUUAGAGUUUCUUUUUUUUUGAGACGGAGUCUCGCUCUAUCGCCCAGGCUGGAGUGUAGAGGCGCAAUCUUGGCUCACUGCAACCUCCGCCUCCCAGAUUCAAGCAAUUCUCCUGCCUCAGCCUCCUGAGUAGCUGGGAUUACAGGAGUGCGCCACUAUGGCCAGCUAAUUUUGUAUUUUUAGUAGAGAUGGGGUUUCACCAUGUUGGCCAGGCUGGUCUUGAACUCCUGACCUCAGAUGAUCCGCCCGCCUCGGCCUCCCAAAGUGCUGGGAUUACAGGCAUGAGCCAUCGCGCCUGGCUGAGAAUUUCUUUAAAAUGCAGCUUCCUCCUAACUCCAGAGACUGAUUUACUAGGAUCUGCAUUUUAGCAAGCUACCCUCCUAUCUCACACACACAUUUUGGUGCAAUGGUCUUUGCAAUAUACUUUGAGAAACAUUGUAUAAAGCAUGACUUAUGGAAAUAGUACUUUGUCUUAAAUAAAAAUAUUAGAAAAGUAUAAACAAUCCUAAUAAACAAAUGUAUUAUUGUCCCUUGUGCUAUAGAUAAAGAAAGGGAGAACAAUAAGCCAAUUAUAAGCACACU
rnacentral:lncRNA from 1 species